ensembl:lncRNA
UGAACAGCUAUGGUCGGUACAGCAGUCACUUUCAGCCUCAGUGUCACCGCAGCCAUAGUAGAGCGGGCUUUGAUAUGUCUGUGACUAUAGCAGGAGUGUUUGAAGAGACUGAGAGUGGAGAGAGGUGGGGGUCAAGAAAGGGAAGCCAACACCACCCCUUCUCAUAUCCCGCUUCAAUCCCCCACCCCACCCCCCCGCCGCCCCGAUCCCAGCUUUAAAUGGGCUUGUGCAGUCGAAACCACCAGUUUGGGCUUCACCACAGGUUCAGCCUACAAUGUGGACACUUCAAAGACUUCAAAGCUGUUCUAUUUCAUCUAAACCUUCAAAAUAUAGAUCCUAACAGGAAUUCAAGACAACGACUGCAGUGGUUUCAUCUAUGAACUCACAUUUAGCACUGGAUUUCUUUAUGAGCCACUUCAGGAGACUAUGGCUGAGGCUGGAGAAAAGGUGGGGACGCAUUUGGAUGGGGUUCUCUUUUCCUUCUCAUCAUAGAUCCAGCAUCAAACAGCUUGACUAAUUCCGUAAGUCUGACAGAGCUUUCCUCCAGUUCGGCUGGAUUUUCUAUGGUUUUACUGAAUCCCACCCACAGAUGGCACGGUAGCACUCGAUUGCAUUCUGAUGGCUGCUGCAAGCUUCAUGUACCAUUCCAUAUUUGGUCAGGUCCUGCGCCUCAAAUCCUAAUAGUGCUGCCCCAGAUACAGCACAGCUGCCCCGAUUCCUCUCUCAAGAAUAUGAAAAGAUCUCCAGAAAGGAGGUCCUCCUACCAGCUCGUGCCUCUUCUCUUCCUACUCAGCCAAGAAGAGUGUGUUAGUCAAGAUGCUUGGAAGGCACAGCCUUGAGCCAUUCUGACUGCAAGGGGUCACACCCUACUUUGACCCCAACCUGGGGCAAAGCAAUCUGUGUCAGAUGUUGCCAUGUAAGAGCCAGUUUGAAUUGCACCUCAUUACGAAAUCUCCCCAAGCCUGCGUCAGUACGGCUCCAUCAAUUGCCCUGGCCUCUGGUUCUUAAAUCGUAUCCAUCCAUUAUAUUAAACUAAGAGGAACUAUAGAUUAUGAGAAAGAAAUCAGACAACUAGACUUCUGCUCUGGGAUCUGGUUAUCAGCAACUGCCAGUAGAAUUCAGAGUUCGGCAGGCACAGAAUGCUUCAGCUCCCCCGUGGACUCUCCAAGGAACAUGCCACCGAUCAGUGAUCCCACUCCCACGAGCUCUGCUUGGUCACUGGGGGCCAAGACAUCACAUUAACACCCUCAUCUCUGCAAAAUCUCUUCAUAUCUAUAUUGGAUGAAAGCAAAUCUUCUGGACAAAUUGAAGGCUCCAUAAAGUCUUUAUGUUUUCAGAUAUCCAUAGGCUAAUCCAAAACACAAAACAAGCAAAAACCGAAAG